CCUACGGGAGGCAGCAGUGGGGAAUUUUGGACAAUGGGGGCAACCCUGAUCCAGCCAUUCCGCGUGAGUGAAGAAGGCCUUCGGGUUGUAAAGCUCUUUCAGCAGGAACGAAACGGUCGGCUUUAAUAAAGUCGGCUAAUGACGGUACCUGCAGAAGAAGCACCGGCUAACUACGUGCCAGCAGCCGCGGUAAUACGUAGGGUGCGAGCGUUAAUCGGAAUUACUGGGCGUAAAGCGUGCGCAGGCGGCGACAUAAGACAGAUGUGAAAUCCCCGGGCUCAACCUGGGAACUGCGUUUGUGACUGUGUUGCUAGAGUGUAGCAGAGGGGGGUGGAAUUCCACGUGUAGCAGUGAAAUGCGUAGAGAUGUGGAGGAACACCGAUGGCGAAGGCAGCCCCCUGGGUUAACACUGACGCUCAUGCACGAAAGCGUGGGGAGCAAACAGGAUUAGAUACCCUGGUAG
rnacentral:rRNA from 1 species